UACGUAGGGUCCGAGCGUUGUCCGGAAUUACUGGGCGUAAAGAGCUCGUAGGUGGUUUGUCGCGUUGUUCGUGAAAACUCACAGCUCAACUGUGGGCGUGCGGGCGAUACGGGGCAGACUGGAGUACUGCAGGGGAGACUGGAAUUCCUGGUGUAGCGGUGGAAUGCGCAGAGUAUCAGGAGGAACACCGGUGGCGAAGGCGGGUCUCUGGGCAGUAACUG
rnacentral:rRNA from 1 species